rnacentral:rRNA from 1 species
AUGGAGAUGAAACCCAAAAGAUUUUCGUUGGGGCGUGUUGGUUGCGAGAUCUUAUGGGUUUCACCUCUAGCCUACCCCAACUUGCUUGGGACUAAAGGCUUUGUUGUUGUUUGUUGCAGACACACUAAACCACCCCCAUCCAUGCAUUAUAACGCCCAUCGAAGGGAACUGACUAAAAUGUCAAACAGAAACUCACAACUUUUUGGUCACUUCCUCCUGUGGAGAUGUAUUCAUCAUUGGGGGCCACAGCAACCUGGAAUUUGUUUCAUGAAAAACUUGAAACAUCAGAAAAGUUUGCUGAAGGACCAGCAGUAG